rnacentral:rRNA from 1 species
UACGGAGGGUGCAAGCGUUAUUCGGAUUUAUUGGGUUUAAAGGGUGCGCAGGCGGAAUAUUAAGUCAGUGGUGAAAUCCUCCCGCUUAACGGGAGAACUGCCAUUGAUACUGAUAUUCUUGAGUCUGGCUGAUGUGGGCAGAAUGUGCCAUGUAGCGGUGAAAUGCUUAGAUAUGGCACAGAAUACCAAUUGCGAAGGCAGCUCACAAAACCAGUACUGACGCUCAGGCACGAAAGCGUGGGGAUCAAACAGG